UCCAGCUCUGUCAGGUAGUGUAGGGACUCCAGAAUUGAGGCCACAAGACCCCAGGAAUCACAACUGAAAUUACAGCCAACGAGUCUGCAAGACAAUGUACUGUAUUAUAAAAGAGAAUUUCACAUACAUAUACACAGAUAAUAACUAGAAAGUUCAAUAGAAGUUAGACCUUUGUGGCCUUAUCAGACUUUAAUCUCAAUGUUGUUACCAUCAAACUGAUGGUAGAAAUAACUGAUAUUGUAUGUAUUGUGACUUUUGUCACUUUCUGGUGCUAAUAUAUUAUAUUGGAAAUAUAAAUGGAUAGAGAACAGACCUUAACAGGUGCUCUACCAGUUUACAAAAAUCUUGCUUGUCAGUUUAGAUUUUAUAUGACAUAUAACCAAAGUGGAUAGGGACUAGAUCAAUUGUAACCCCCUGUCAGCUAGUGGUGAAUGUAAAUGACUAAGCACAAGACUUGUUUUGUCGUUGUCUACAAGUUCAAAUACUAGGUGAGUGCAGACAUGUGUAUACUCUGCUUGUCACACACACCCACACACACAUUUUAGCAAAGGUGCUGUUGCAUAGAUGAUUGCACAUGCAGCAGUUCCUUCUACAGAGAUGCAUUCACCCGUCAUCUUAAGCAUUGUUGUACAUGCCUUUAAUAGGAAUAGCAGAUGCCACUAUUCAUUGGUUUAUUGGAUGUUUUGCUCAAAACACACCCAUGCUUAAUUAAGAAACGUAAGAAAAAAACUCUUUUGAACCAUAUGCCUAGCGUCUGAUCACUUAUUCCCUCAUCAAACUAGCAUGUGGCUUGGACUCUCAGACCAUCUGUUUUAGAUCAUUAAAAUUGGGUCCUUAGUGUUAGAUUUCUUUAUAUGGAAAGUUAAUUUCACUCAGAUUUGGUUCAGGAAUUCAGUCAACUCCAUUUAGCAUUUCUCCUCACAGGCAACAUUUCCCCCAAAACUUGUGACAUCAGUGGCAUUGUGUUCUGUGAUAAACCAGCAUAUUUCUUAGUGGCCUUUUACUGUCACCAUGGCAAAGUGGCUAUCUGUUCAGAACUAUUCCCUUGAUUAGGAGAAGGACCAUUUUAAAAUCACAUGACACAGUGGAUGAACACACACACAGAUCAUUGGAUUACAUGUUUACAGUGAGAACUGCAUAGCCCUGCGGAAAGCAGCUGAACUCCAGAAUCUCCCAAGCCAUUGUUACUGAGAUCAAGCUUAACCAGG